CCCCAUAUAGCAGUCAAAUCUCGUAUCUCCCGUACAGUUUCCAUGGUUGGAGCUCUUUUUGGAUUUGGGACUGCAUGGCCACCCGUGUUGAUCAGAGCUCCACUCUGGGCAAACAGGAA